CCGCUAGUUUUCUCGUUUCAAUUUUUUUACAUCGUCAUUUCGGGGCCUUUUAAAGCUGAGUAUGCGGUAUGGGCUUUGCUCGUUGUUGAAGGCCGUACGGUGACCUAUAGUCGUUAAUUUCUGUGUCAUUUUGGUCUCUUGUGGAGAGUUGUCUCAACAUAGCAAUCAUACCACAUCUUUUUUAUGGGCCAAGUGAGCUUUUCUCAUCACUUUGCGUCCGUCGUCCGUCGUCGUCUGUUAACUUUUACAAAAAUCUUCUUCUCUGAAACUACUGGGCCAAAUUAAACCAAACUUGGCCACAAUCAUCAUUAGGGUAUCUAGUUUAAAAAAUGUGUGGCGUGACCCGGCCAACCAACCAAGAUGGCCGCCAUGGCUAAAAAUAGAACAUAGGGGUAAAAUGCAGUUUUGGGCUUAAAACUCAAAAACCAAAGCAUUUAGAGCAAAUCUGACUCGAGUAAAAUUGUAUAUCAGGUCAAGAUCUAUCUGCCCCGAAAUUUUCAGAUGAAUCGGACAACCCGUUGUUGGGUUGCUGCCCCUGAAUUGGUAAUUUUAAGGUAAUUUUGCUGUUUUUGGUUAUUAUCUUGAAUAUUAUUAUAGAUAGAGAUAAACUGUAAACAGCAAUAAUGUUCAGCAAAGUAAGAUUUACAAAUAAGUCAACAUGACCGAAAUGGUCAAUUGACCCCCUAAGGAGUUAUUGUCCUUUAUAGUCAAUUUUCAACAAUUUUUAUAAAAUUUGUAAAUUUUUACUAACAUUUUCUACUGAAACUACUGGGCCAAGUUCAUAGACCAAGGUGAGCGACACAGGCUCUUUAGAGCCUCUAGUUUUUGUAAUCAAUGAAUUUUGUAAAAUAUUUAAUGAAUGGAGAAUUUCAGAAAAGGUAUCAAAAGUUCACAUGAAUAUUUUUUAGCGCUUAUCUGUAUAUUACUAUAUAAAUAAAGUGUAUUUACUUUCAAUUCUUAGUUUAGUAAUCGAUCCAUGGUGGUCAAUUGACAUAGUAUACAGACCCUCUCCAUUUAAUAAACUCUGAACAGAAUUAAAAUACACUUUAUUCGUACUAUUUGUUUGUUCAAAGUAUACAGAAAAACGCAAACCGGAAGUAUAAUCUGAC
rnacentral:lncRNA from 1 species